CUUGACUGUAUCCUUGGAAUUGGGUUCGGGCUUUUCUUGCGCAGACUAGGUGGGAGGCUAUGAAGGAUUUUCUUCUGGGAAAGUUGGAGCCAACAGUGAGAGACCACUCUGGAAAGGCUAGAAUCCUAAUGGUGAUCCUUGAAUCAGGACACUUGACAGUUUCAGGUGGGCAGUUUUUCUGGGGCGGAAGCCUCAUAAAAGGUAACUGAGGCGCGCAAAGGUCCCCUCAGUCUGGACGGAAAUCAGACAUUGAGUGUAAAGGCAAAAGGGGGCUUGACUGCAAGACCCACAAGUCGAGCAGGGGCGAAAGCUGGCCUUAGUGAUCCGACGGUGCCGUGUGGAAGGGCCGUCGCUCAACGAAUAAAAGUUA
rnacentral:rRNA from 1 species